rnacentral:rRNA from 1 species
UUUGAAAUCUGCCAACAGGCCGAGUUGUAAUUUGUAGAUGGCUACACUGCAUAAUAGUAGAUGCUCAAGUUCUUUGGAAAAAGACAUCAUGGAGGGUGACAAUCCCGUGAGGCAUGUUACUAGGAGCAUAUAGUGGGCUUUCUAAGAGUCGAGUUGUUUGGGAAUGCAGCUCAAAGUGCGUGGUGAAUACCAUGUAAAGCUAAAUAUGGACGAGAGACCGAUAGCGAACAAGUACUGUGAAGGAAAGAUGAAAAGCACUCCGAAAGGAGAGUGAAAUAGUACGUGAAAUUGUUAAAGUGGAAGGGCUUGAGAUCAGAAUUGGUAGUUUGGGUUCCACGUCCUCUUGGGGGCGUGUACUCCCUUUCCACCGGGCCAGCGGGAGUUUCGUCUCUUGGGUAAAAGCAGUGGAAUGUAGCAGCUUGUCUGUAUUAUAGCCUCUGUUCAUACAAGACGUCGAGACUUGAUUUGUUGGCGUAAUGAUCUCUAGCCACCCGUCUUGA